UACGUAGGGUGCGAGCAUUGUCCGGAAUUAUUGGGCGUAAAGAGCUCGUAGGCGGUUCGUCGCGUCGGCUGUGAAAACCCGGAGCUCAACUCCGGGCCUGCAGUCGAUACGGGCGGACUUGAGUGUUGCAGGGGAGACUGGAAUUCCUGGUGUAGCGGUGAAAUGCGCAGAUAUCAGGAGGAACACCGGUGGCGAAGGCGGGUCUCUGGGCAACUACUGACGCUGAGGAGCGAAAGCGUGGGGAGCGAACAGG
rnacentral:rRNA from 1 species